GUGAAUCAUCGAAUUUUUGAACGCAAAUUGCACUCUCCUCUAAUAGUAUGCCUAUUUGUGUUUCAGCCUAUAAAAAUCGACAACGUUACUGUUUCGCGGUGGCGUUCGUCGGAAAGUACGUCAUCUUAAAUCCUUUUUAUUUAAUCGGCUUAAAAUGUUCGUUUGGUUCCAUUAACGUUUCUUAGAUCUAUUUCUUUACACGUUUAAGGUAUCGAUUUUUACUAAGCGUGACCUUCA
rnacentral:misc_RNA from 1 species